GGACAAGGCCCUCCCAACACCCUUUAAAAGCUGGCUGUGAGUGGCCUAGAGCUUUUUGUAGGGCUGAUGGGACCAUGAGAUGUUAUGUCAUGAAGUACUGUGCCAUGCUGUGCUAUCGCUGAUGCUAUCACAUUCAUUGAGGCUGCAUCCUUCCCCUCCGCCGACGGCUGAAGCCUCCUGGGUGCCUCCCGCAGGCAGAGCUGUCCUGCAGAUGUGGAACGUGCUCCAGAUGUGCCGGGGAGGCGGCGGACUGAGCCCGCGGGAGCAGGGUUGUUUGUUGUGCGUGAGAAUCACAAGCAACUAAACCAAGGGGAGAAAGUUUGAAAUGGUGGUUGUCAGAUAGUAUCACCCUCACACCCUCUGCUGAAUGCUAAUAAGUGUAAGUAAACACAA